rnacentral:ncRNA from 1 species
GAAAACACAAUGAGUAGGAUUAAUAAGGAACCUCUAUUUUUUAGAGAGCUGUCGGCGGGUGUAAGACAGUAAAUAGAUUCCCGAACUCGCCUAGGAGUGGAUAGAUUGAUAAGUAAAUCUAUACGGUUAACUUCCGUCAUCAAGUCUGAAGAUGUUUCCUUGUCAAAGUGAAACAAAAAAGAGUGGUACCGCGAUUAACCAUAUCGUCUCUUUC